rnacentral:rRNA from 1 species
CCUACGGGUGGCAGCAGUGAGGAAUAUUGGUCAAUGGUCGGGAGACUGAACCAGCCAAGCCGCGUGAGGGAGGAAGGUACAGAGUAUCGUAAACCUCUUUUGUCAGGGAACAAAGGCGGGGACGUGUCCCCGGAUGAGUGUACCUGAAGAAAAAGCAUCGGCUAACUCCGUGCCAGCAGCCGCGGUAAUACGGAGGAUGCGAGCGUUAUCCGGAUUUAUUGGGGUUAAAGGGUGCGUAGGCGGGCUGUUAAGUCAGAGGGCAAAGGCCGGGGCUCAACCCCGGGCCCGCGUUUGAAACUGGCAGUCUCGAGUAGGAUAGAAGUAUGCGGAAUGCGUGGUGUAGCGGUGAAAUGCAUAGAUAUCGCGCAGAACUCCGAUUGCGAAGGCAGCAUGCCGGCUCCACACUGACGCUGAGGCACGAAAGCGUGGGUAUCGAACAGGAUUAGAUACCCCAGUAGUC